AAAGGACUUUGAGACAUGGCUUG
rnacentral:piRNA from 1 species